rnacentral:ncRNA from 1 species
UUCUUAUCCAGAGAGGUGGAGGGACUGGCCCAGUGAAACCUCGGCAACAGACUUUGUUAAAGUACUGUGCCAAUUCCAGCAAGCAUUAUGCCUGAAAGAUAAGAA